UCUCCGUUGGUGAACCAGCGGAGGGAUCAUUACCGAGUUUACAACUCCCAAACCCAAUGUGAACGUUACCACACUGUUGCCUCGGCGGGGUCACGCCCCGGGUGCGUAGCAGCCCCGGAACCAGGCGCCCGCCGGAGGAACCAACCAAACUCUUUCUGUAGUCCCCUCGCGGACGUUAUUUCUUACAGCUCUGAGCAAAAAUUCAAAAUGAAUCAAAACUUUCAACAACGGAUCUCUUGGUUCUG
rnacentral:misc_RNA from 1 species